GUCCAAGCAAGCAAGCCUGAAGUUCAGGUGACAGAAAUCCCUCUAUAUCUAGUUUACACAAAAAGGAGUAUUUAGUGACUGCAUUCUCAAGCCACAACGGGGAUAGAACUGGCCUGAGGACGACCAGAACCAGAGACUCAGUACCACGGGGACUUGCCACCUCUUCUUCUUCAGGGGAAGCUAUGAACCAGCUCAACCAUUUCUAGGAUGCUUAACUUCCCCAAGGUCUUUCGAAUGUCCUUUUGAUGUGUGCUGUCAGCUUCAACCAUCACCACCACCAAAAAAAAAGACUUUUCUAUUAGGAAGGACUAAUACAAGGCUCUCUUUGGCUUUAUGCUUCCAUGUGUAAGAACCUUCCCACAAAAGAAUCGCUGAAGCUUUUGAACUACAUCCCGUUAUGACAAAGGAAACACCAAGAAUAUGAUAGCCAAAAGGAGAGAUUGUAGUGAUUGCCAAGGCCCUGGACACAAGACAAACCCUGGAGCUACACUGAUUCGGGUCAUAACCCCCCUUCCUGCAUCACAAGGACUGAGAAAGAUGACUAAAGAUACUGUUGGGGUGGAGCGUGGGGAGGGGAAGGAGACUGGCUGCUGGCAGUACAAACAGGGAUGUCCUCCACUAAGAGGACUGGCGGUCAGUUCCUCUGGAAUAGCAGUGCUCAGGCCGUGCACCACCAAACACUAUGCAGAGUGCCUCAGACAGGUGUGGCUCAGGACCAGGAGCCAUCUCUCUGAAAUGUGAUCAUCAGGGAAGAUCGUGCCCUACCUCCCAGUUGGCUAGGAGAGGGCGGGCCUAACUUCAACUAUCAUCUGACUUCAAAUUGCAAAACCCACCGAAUGUCACAGGGGCAUCCACUCAGCUGCAAGAGAGCAAGAUUUCCUUCUGUCUUUGCCAGAUGGCCCGAGAUGCAUAUCACAUUCUGGCUUAAUGCUUAUUCAAUAAAAAGAUGAUUUUCCUUCUCUUCUUUGUUGAGAGGUUUUCUGAGUUAUGAACACAUUUCAUUUUUAAUUUAUAGUUCCCCAACAAAUGCCAGUUUAUUAGAAUAGUUAAAAAGCAAAAUCUGUCAGAGAUGUGGACACGCAUUUCUUGCCUUUUCCUAAUAAGGCCAUUUGACACCAAUUAAUUCUUAUUUUCUUUUUAUUUCGAUUCAGUUCAAGAUUAAGUUCUCAAAUAAGUGGUAUGUGAUCUUAAAAUCACCUUUGUUUCAAAGCACGUUUCACUAUUUCAUAUUCCUUUCCAAGAAAUCAUUCUAUCCAUUUCUUUUUUAAAUUUUUCCUUUCCUUUGUUAAUAGGAGCUUUGCUUGACAAAAAUAGCUCCCAGAGGGCCCCUGGGUGGC